UGGGGAAUUUUCCGCAAUGGGCGCAAGCCUGACGGAGCAAUACCGCGUGAGGGAGGAAGGCUUUUGGGUUGUAAACCUCUUUUCUCAAGGAAGAAGCACUGACGGUACUUGAGGAAUAAGCACCGGCUAACUCCGUGCCAGCAGCCGCGGUAAUACGGAGGGUGCGAGCGUUAAUCGGAAUUACUGGGCGUAAAGGGUACGUAGGCGGUUUUACAAGUCAGAUGUGAAAGCCCCGGGCUUAACCUGGGAACUGCAUUUGAAACUGUAAGACUAGAGUGGAUGAGAGGUUAGUGGAAUUCCUGGUGUAGCGGUGAAAUGCGUAGAUAUCAGGAGGAACAUCAGUGGCGAAGGCGACUGACUGGCAUCACACUGACGCUGAGGUACGAAAGCGUGGGGAGCGAACGGGAUUAGAUACCCCUGUAGUCC
rnacentral:rRNA from 1 species